rnacentral:rRNA from 1 species
UACGGAAGGCAGCAGUGGGGAAUAUUGCACAAUGGGCGCAAGCCUGAUGCAGCCAUGCCGCGUGUAUGAAAAAGGCCUUCGGGUUGUAAAGUACUUUUCAGUCGUGAGGAAGGUGUUAAGGUUAAUAACCUUAGCAAUUGACGUUAGCGACAGAAGAAGCACCGGCUAACUCCGUGCCAGCAGCCGCGGUAAUACGGAGGGUGCGAGCGUUAAUCGGAAUUACUGGGCGUAAAGGGCACGCAGGCGGUUAAUAAGUUGGAUGUGAAUCCCCGGGCUUAACCUGGGAAUGGCAUUCAAGACUGGUUAGCUAGAGUCUUGUAGAGGGGGUAGAAUUCCAUGUGUAGCGGUGAAAUGCGUAGAGAUGUGGAGGAAUACCGGUGGCGAAGGCGGCCCCUGGACAAAGGCUGACGCUCAUGUGCGAAAGCGUGGGGAGCAAAC